GCUCAGAAACUCAAAUGAAUGACGGGGCCCGCACAAGCGGUGGAGUAUGUGGUUUAAUUCGAUGCAACGCGAAGAACCUUACCUGGUCUUGACAUCCCGGAGACCCUUAGGAAACUAGGGGGUGCUUCCAUCUGGAAGAAUCUGGAGACAGGUGCUGCAUGGCUGUCGUCAGCUCGUGUCGUGAGAUGUUGGGUUAAGUCCCGCAACGAGCGCAACCCUUGCCUUUAGUUGCCAGCAGUUCGGCUGGGCACUCUAAAGGGACUGCCGGUGUUAAACCGGAGGAAGGUGGGGAUGACGUCAAGUCCUCAUGGCCUUUAUGACCAGGGCUACACACGUGCUACAAUGGCCGAUACAAAGGGCAGCGACACUGCGAGGUGAAGCCAAUCCCGUAAAAUCGGUCUCAGUCCGGAUUGGAGUCUGCAACUCGACUUCAUGAAGCUGGAAUCGCUAGUAAUCGCAGAUCAGCCAAGCUGCGGUGAAUACGUUCCCGGGCCUU
rnacentral:rRNA from 1 species